rnacentral:tRNA from 1 species
GACUCGCUGGCGCAACGGUAGCGCGUCAGAUUCCAGUUUAACAUGGGAUUUCCUGAAGGUUAAGGGUUCAAAUCCCUUGUGGGUCA